rnacentral:rRNA from 1 species
GACGAACGCUGGCGGCGUGCUUAACACAUGCAAGUCGAACGCUGAAGCUCAGCUUUUGUUGGGUGGAUGAGUGGCGAACGGGUGAGUAACACGUGAGUAACCUGCCUCCUUCUUUGGGAUAACGCCCGGAAACGGGUGCUAAUACUGGAUAUUCACUGGUCUUCGCAUGGGGGUUGGUGGAAAGGGUUUUUCUGGUGGGGGAUGGGCUCGCGGCCUAUCAGCUUGUUGGUGGGGUGAUGGCCUACCAAGGCUUUGACGGGUAGCCGGCCUGAGAGGGUGACCGGUCACAUUGGGACUGAGAUACGGCCCAGACUCCUACGGGAGGCAGCAGUGGGGAAUAUUGCACAAUGGGCGCAAGCCUGAUGCAGCGACGCCGCGUGAGGGAUGGAGGCCUUCGGGUUGUGAACCUCUUUCGCUUAUGGUCAAGCCGCAACAAUGGUUGUGGUGAGGGUAGUGGGUAAAGAAGCGCCGGCUAACUACGUG